GCUCGUGCCUGAAGCUAUUUCAUGGAAAGUCAAAGUUUGACAUUACAUCCACAAUAAGAUUAGGUGAGGUUAGUCGUGCCGGUUUUGCAGCAGCUGACAACUAUUAUCCUGAAGUAAGAUGGUUUCGUCGUUGUGCUACCUCAUAUUUCCCGUCAUCUUGGUCAUGGGACUCCUGCGAAAAUGUCGAGAGUCUACUUGGGGGAGAUGCCAAAGCCGUACACCAUUGCAGGGACGUGUUUUCCUUGUCACUGGAGCUAAUUCUGGCAUCGGUAAGGAAACUGUCAGAGAACUAGUCAGAAGAAAGGCACGAGUCAUUAUGGCAUGUCGCAACCUCCAAAGUGCACGAGAUGUUGUUGCUGAAAUCCGAAAAGAUGUUCAGACUGGCGAGCUGAUUCCUAUGGAGUUGGAUCUCAGUUCGUUCAUUUCGAUAAGACACUUUGCUCUAGAAGUAUUAAAAACUUUCUCAGAAAUUCAUGUACUGAUAAAUAAUGCAGGUGUAUAUGCACCUUUAAAAGAUCGCUGUCUGACUAAAGAGGGAUUUGAAAUACAUUUUGGAGUCAAUCACUUGGGGCAUUUUCUUCUAACAAACUUGCUCCUUGACCGACUGAAAGAGAGUGCUCCUAGCAGAAUUGUUGUCGUUACAUCGAAGCUGCUAGAAUCUGGUCAGAUAGAUUUUUCAAACCUGAACGCAGAAAAAGGUUUGUCAGCAAAAGGACGGAUGAAUCCAGGCUAUUGUAACUCAAAAUUAGCAAACGCUUAUUUUGCUGCCGAGCUUGCUAAAAGAACUGAAAAUACGGGUGUCAGCGUUUAUUCUGUAUGUCCAGGAUUCACAUACACGGGCCUCUUUCGAAAUGUAAAACGUAGCUGGUUCCACUAUGUGCUUUUUUCCCCAGUUGCUUUGAUGUUUCUUCGAACUGCAAAUCAGGGUGCUCAGACUGUACUCCACUGCGCAACAGAACAAUCAUUAGAGAAUGAGAGUGGAUGUAUUUACCGUGACUGUAAAAUCUAUGAACCUAAGAAAAAAUUGGACCCGGAGAUAGCUGAUCGUUUGUGGAGUGUCAGUAAUGAGCUGAUAAACGUCUCAUAAAGAGGCCUCCUGUGAACUGUAUGCUGAGAUGCAUGAAGAAAAUCUUCAUUUCAAUUCGAAUUUCAUAAAAGAUGUUUGAUAAGUGGAUUGUUUAUUGACUGAUGAAAGUGAUCUCCAUGCAAGGCUGUACUACAAGUUAUUUGUAGACUUAGAUUUAAGAACAUAUUACGAUGUUUUUCUGUGUCAUUUUUAGCACCAGACUAAUCGCUGUCAGACAUGCGUGUAGGUAACGAAAUUUACCGGAUUUGAAUUGUAAAUGUUUCGGGCUCUCUAGUCCACUGAAAAUUGCUCAUAGACCGAUCGGAGCGAAUACCAAGUCCGUACUUUCGAUAAUCAAUUUAUACACUACACGUAAAAAUUUACGGGUCACCCUAUUUCUGCUCCGAAAAAAGCCCGAUUUCAUAUCCUCAUAGCUCAAUGCGUACUCGGCAUAUCGUUGCGAAGUUGAGAGUUCACUGCGCGAUUUUGACAUAACUAACACAAGAUAGAACAACAUGUGAAAAAAGCUACAUUUUUUAGCGACUUUCUACGCCAAUUAUUUGUUGAGUUGCGAGGAUUUGUAAUCAGGCAUUUCUCGGAACAGAAACAGAGUAGCCCGAUAAUUUUUCCGUGCAGAAUAUUUUUAGCGUGUAAUUUAUGAGUAAUUGUUUGAAAUAAGCAAUAAAACGCUGUUC
rnacentral:misc_RNA from 1 species